rnacentral:ncRNA from 1 species
CAAACAGCAAUGACAGAGGAAAGUAGGCUGGCAGAGGCUGACAGGGCGGUGCGGGCUGAGACUGAGACCCACACCCUGCUGAACCCAAUUGAAGUUCACUCUUGAGCUGCCCGGGUGAAGGCAAUUCUUUGCUGGUAGUUUGGGCCGGUAACCCUACCGUUAACCGGGGAUGCCAAUGGCAUCGGAUGCCAUUGGUGGUGAGCGGGCUUUGCAGCGACCCUGCAAUGCCAAAAAAGGUGGUACCGCGGUCAAUCCGUCCUUUUG